rnacentral:rRNA from 1 species
CCUACGGGUGGCAGCAGUGGGGAAUUUUGCGCAAUGCUCGUAAGAGUGACCCAGCGACGCCGCGUGAAUGACGACGGCCUUCGGGUCGUCAAGUUCUUUCUGCAGGGGAGAAAAUGCCUAUAAGUACCUGGGUAUGUAUUUACGGUACCUGUAUAAGCAGCCCCGGCUCACUCCGUCCCCGCCGCCGCUGUAGUACGGAGGGGGCGAGCGUUGUUCGGAUUGACUGGGCGUAAAGAGUACGUAGGAGGUGUUGUAAGUCAUUAGUGAAAGAUUAGAGCUCAACUGUAGUAAGGACAGUGAUACUAGAAUACUAGAGUAUAAGAGAGGAUUGCGGAAUUCCUGGUGUAGCGGUGAAAUGCGUAGAGAUCA